AAAUAAUUUUUAUUUUUUAUUUUUAAAUUUUUUCAAUACAUUUAGAACUACUUCUUAUCAGAUCUGUUACCGCAGGUAUUUAAAACAAGCACACCCAGCGUUGGAUGUCAGCAUAAUUUACGUGUUUUCACAAAGCACGCAAUAGAUUUAGUUAUUAUCUGAUAGGAUUUGCAAAAUGUAAAUGGUUCUGUUUCACAGAAACUGCACUGUUUUUGUUUCCAGCUGUAGGGGAAUUAAUGAAGUGAUUUUGAUGUUUAGAGUUUCCCUUUAACCUCAGUUUUACAAUCCAGGUUAUUAAUUAUGUGAAACGUAUGGCUUCAUUCACCGAACAGCAAACUGAAAACUGAAUUGUAAUAUUUAAGCAAAAUAGCCACUCUGUGAUGGUACCUAAGAAGGAUCAUUUUUUCAAAUCAGCAUAUUUUUCCCGCAUUUUGUAAUUCAGUUUUAAAUCUACUACAAAUGCUAGCUACAUCAUAAUUUGUUGUGAUGGUGCCGGGAUGUCCCUGGCACUGGCUUACCUUAGGGGAUAGUCAUUACCGAACGGUUUAACCCCAAAGAGCUGAAUACAGUAGAACCCCAUUCACAAAAUGGCUUGAGGAUCAUACAUAUAUUUCUCAAACUGUUUUGUGAAUUGGGAGGCACUGACCGGCUUUGCUUAGUCCGAGGCUGCGCAAGGCUUACUGUUUCAAGAAACAGAGAAAAGCGAAAAAAUAUAGAAAUAUAGAAUGUGACGGCAGAUAAGAACCAUUCGGCCCAUCUAGUCUGCCCAAUUUUCUAAAUACUUUCAUUAGUCCCUGGUCUUAUCUUAUAGCUAGGAUAGCCUAAUGCCUAUCCCACCCAUGCUUAAACUCCUUUACUGUGUUAACCUCUACCACUUCAGCUGGAAGGCUAUUCCAUGCAUCCACUACCCUCUCAGUAAAGUAAGCUAAACUCGCGCUGGAAUUAGCUCUUUGGGGUUUAAACAUUCGUUAACGGUUUAAACCUUUUAAGGUAAGCCAGUGCCAGGGCCUCCUGGCACUAUAACAACUUCAUUCCAAUAGUGACUGUGUGUUCUUUUAACACUGAAAGAAAGAAAAAAAAAACACAAAAAGAAAUAAAAAAAGUAUCAACUCUAAACAAGAUAACAUUUGCGGCAAUUACCAUUUGAAGAUAUGGAUAUGCUUUUAUAUCACAAAACCCAUUGUAAAUAUCUGUGGGAUAUGUAAGUAUUUUAAAUAAAGUGUUUGCAUCUCAUUCAGCAACAAUGUACAUUAUUACAUCCCAUCUUGACUCCAUCAGUAAAAGCACUCUAUAGCAAUGCUAUAAACUUAUUCUAUAUUUUACAUUAAGUUGUUUUGGUGCCUGGAGUGUCCCUUUAAGAAGAAGGGUAAAAUACGCAGUCAAUUAGAUACCUGCUUCUUGUCGAUUUUCUUGUUCUAUAUAGACAUGAUGUAUGGCCUACUUUCAUUAUGUUUUUUCAUAGCACAUACAGUAUGUAACAAUAGCUGCCUCUAGCUAGGUAUAGGUUAAAAAGUUGUUCUUUAUUAUUGCAAGGGAAGAUGAAUAUGUCUUAUCCAAUACAGAGUCUGGGUCUGAUUUUUUUUUUAGAUUUAAUUUCACCUAAUCAAUAUUCUCAGGAUUGCCUGCCCAAAGGGGAAUUCUUUCCAACGUGGAAAACGGUCUUUGUUUUAAUUGAAUUAUUGGCGUUGGCGAGUGUGAAUUUUUAUUCUGCCGCUGCGCUGGCUUGCUGCCUGCAGGAAUGGUUAUCAAUGUAGUAAUAGGACAGGGGUUAGAAAACGUG